rnacentral:rRNA from 1 species
UUCCGGUUGAUCCUGCCGGAGGCCAUUGCUAUCGGAGUCCGAUUUAGCCAUGCUAGUCGUGCGAGUUUAGACUCGCGGCACCGAGCUCAGUAACACGUGGCCAAACUACCCUGUAGAGACGUAUAACCUCGGGAAACUGAGGCUAAUUCGUCAUACCGGUUGAACGGUUGAACUCCAUCAACCUCGAAAUGCCCCGGCGCUACAGGAUGUGGCUGCGGCCGAUUAGGUUGACGGUGGGGUAACGGCCCACCGUGCCAAUAAUCGGAACAGGUUGUGAGAGCAAGAACCUGGAGACGGUAUCUGAGACAAGAUGCCGGGCCCUACGGGGCGCAGCAGGCGCGAAACCUUUACACUGCACGCACGUGCGAUAAGGGGACUCCGAGUGCGAGGGCAUAUCGUCCUCGCUUUUGUGUACCGUAGGGUGGUACACGAACAAGGGCUGGGCAAGACCGGUGCCAGCCGCCGCGGU